ensembl:antisense 9330179D12Rik RIKEN cDNA 9330179D12 gene
GAGGGAGGAGGAGGAAGCGCGCCUCGGCCGGCCGCCGCAGUUGGAGUCGGAGCAGGGGGGAGCAGUUUCAAAAAAUUAUUAAAAAUCGAGGGAAAAUCCUAGAAACGCUCUGUGGGCCUGAAAACCCCAGAGAGGUCCCAGGCUCCCUGGAAAAGAGGUUUCGGGUGUCCGUAAGGCCUCUCCGGGGUCAGAUGUGGCAGGUGAAUCUUGGCUGAAGGAGAGAGGAAGCAUGAAGGUCCACAUCCAUGGAGUUGAUGACAGGAAGACCCCUGAGGCACACACAAUUAUAUCAAGCAGUGACACUGGAGUCAGCUGUGGGAAUACACUGAAUGGUCUUCACACCCCUGUGGAUGGCGAGGGAGCCAAUGGAGAUUGUAGAAGUGAGAACUGUGCUGUUGCAUCCUCAGGCAAAUGAUUUCUUCUGUAAAUGUCUUCUUGACAUGUUUAUGAAGAGACAUCCUCAGAGCCAAACUGCCUUCAUUUUCAUCAGAUCUGUUUGCAAGAGAUAGUCAUAGCUGACCAUGUUAACUGUGACCUACUUUUAUAUAAGGGGCACAGUGCAUCAUGGGACCUUCACAUGAGUAUCCAGGCAGCCCUCCAAGCCAUCUGUAUGAAAAUCUAAUUGUACAAAGCCUCAAGGAGUCUGUGAUGGCUAAUCUUGGUUGUCAACUUGAAGACAUCUAGAAUCAACUGAAUCCCAAGCAGCUAGGUGUUGAGAAAUUUUCAUGAUCGAAUCAUCUGAGGUCAGAAGACUCACUCUAAAGCUGGGCUACACCUUUUGAUGGCAUCCCGCAUAAAAGCACAUGGAAUAAGGAAAGCUUUGAUUUUUGCCUGCUUGUCCUCACUCUUACUGGCAAGUUCAUCUAGUCUGCUGCUGUGGCAUUCUUUCACUGGUGUUAGAACCUACUUCUUCAUGACUGAAGACUAGCUAAGGUAUCCAGCCAUGUGGACUGAAUAACUACUAAAUUUAUGGCCUUUUUUUUUUUUUGGAGCAAGAGAUA